GCUAAGGCUAUAACCAUACAAACAUCAUUAUACCAUUAAACAAACCAUUUGACCAACUAAGUAGAGGCGAUCGAACAGUCACAAUAUAUCUUAAAAGUACCGCAAGGGAAUCGCACCAAAGCAAAAAAUAGCAAAGAUAAACUCUUGUACCUUUAGCAUCAUGGUUUAGCAAGAUACCAAGGCAAGAAGAAUCACAGUCUACAACCCCGAAACCAGAUGAGCUACCUUCGAGCAGCCUAAUGGGCAAACCCUUCUCUGUAGCAAAAGAGUGGGAAGACUUAAAGGUAGAGGCGAAACACCUACCGAAUCUGGAGAUAGCUGGCUACCUAAAAAGGAAUCUAAGUUCCACUUUAGAUCUAAAAAUAAACCCAUAUAACCUAAAGAAACUCAAUAGAGGUACAGCUCUAUUGAAACAGGAUACAACCUGUAUUUGAGAGUACACCCCUUAACUACUACCCGUAGGCUUUAAAGCAGCCAACUAACAAAAUAUCGUUAAAGAAUUUAACAAAAAAAUACAAAAACUACCCCCAAACUCCAAAUAUACUAAAGGUAAUCCUAUUUACUAUAGGAAGUAUUCUGCUAAAACUAAUAAUAAGACACCCUCUCCAUACGCGCCUUUCCACUAGAACAGAAAAUCUACUAGCCACCAACAGACCAAAUCAGGGCAAAGAAACCCAAUACACAUCCAACCCCCACUGUAAAUCCAACACAGGUGCGUUAAAAAGAAAGAUAAAAUACUAAAAAAGGAACUCGGCAACCAAAGACCCCAACUGUUUAACAAAAACAUAACCUUUAGCUAAACCAGUAUUAAAGGCAACGCCUGCCCAGUGAAUAAUUAAACGGCCGCGGUACCCUAACCGUGCAAAGGUAGCGUAAUCACUUGCCUAUUAAUUGUAGGCCUGUACGAAAGGCAUCAUGAGGGCCUAACUGUCUCUUUUAGUAAAUCAAUUAAACUGAUCUCCCAGUCCAAAAGCUGGGAUAGUAACAUAAGACCAGAAGACCCUGUGAAGCUUUAACUAAACUAUUAAACCCUAUAAUAACUACUUUAGGUUGGGGCGACCUUGGAAAAAAAAAGAACUUCCAUAAUACUUUAUAUUUUAUAUAAGCUAAGACCAACAAGUCUACAACGACCCAGCACAGCUGAUAAUUGAACCAAGUUACUCCAGGGAUAACAGCGCUAUCUUCUUCAAGAGCCCAUAUCAAAAAGAAGGUUUACGACCUCGAUGUUGGAUCAGGACACCCCAAUGGUGCAGCCGCUAUUAAGGGUUCGUUUGUUCAACGAUUAAUAGUCCUACGUGAUCUGAGUUUCAGACCGG
rnacentral:rRNA from 1 species